rnacentral:tRNA from 1 species
GCGGACAUGGCGGAAUGGCUAACGCGCUAGUUUGUGGUGCUAGUUUUCGUGAGUUCAAUUCUCACUGUUCGCC